rnacentral:tRNA from 1 species
UCCUCAUUAGCUCAGUUGGUAGAGCGUUCGGCUUUUAUGACUAAAAUCAAAAGUCGACCGAAAUGUCCAGGGUUCGAGCCCCUGAUGAGGAG